rnacentral:rRNA from 1 species
AUGCGUUGGUGUGAGUGGAUUUCGAUCCUCCUCUCCACUGCUUCGACUCGUGUUCUCCUCAAUGGCACCCCCGGACCGCCGAUCACUCAUGCCCAAGGGCUGCGCCAGGGUGACCCGGUGUCCCCCAUGCUGUUCACCCUGGUGAUUGACAAGCUUAACUCGCUCCUCGAGCAUGUCACGAACCAAGGAAUCCUCCAGCGGCUGACCACGCGCCACGCCGCGUCCAGCAUAUCCAUGUUCGCCGACGACGUGGUCAUCUUCUGCCACCCCGACGCCCAUGAGCUCUCCGCCAUCAGAAUGCUGCUCGACACUUUUGGCAACGCCUCGGGUCUUCGAACCAACUUCCUCAAGUGUUCCGCUUCACCCAUCAGAUGCGGCGACAACCACCGCGCCACCAUUGGCGCCUCCCUCUCCUGCCCGCUGGAAGAAUUUCCCAUCAAAUACCUAGGGCUACCGCUCUCAACUCGCAAAGUGCCGGCCUCCGCCCUCCUUCCACUUGUCGACAAGCUUACCAUGAAGCUCGCAACCUGGAAAGCCUCUUUGUUGUCCCGUGGCCAGCGGCUUGCUCUUGUCAGACAUGUCCUCACCGCCAUGCAUGUGCAUAUCCUGUUAGCGCUAGCGCUACACCCAGCGAUCCUCAAGAAGGUCAACAGGCUCAUUCGAGAUUUCCUUUGGCACGGCAACAAGGAUGCCUAUGCUGGUUGCUGCAUCGUCUCUUGGCAAAAGGUAUGCCGUCCCCUCGCGCUUGGUGGACUGGGGAUCCGCGAUCUGCACCGUACUAGCGUCGCCCUCCGCACCAGGUGGCUAUGGCUGCAGGGAACCGACCCUGACCGCUCCUGGAAGCAUCUCCACCCCCCGACCGAUCACGAGGCCUCUGUGCUCUUCCGUGCUUCCACGACCUGGACCAUCGGCAAUGGCAACACCUGCAAGUUCUGGCAGGAUCACUGGCUCAACGGGCGCUCCAUCCCCGAGAUUGCUCCUACCCUUUCUGCCCUCAUCCCGAGGCGCCGCCGAAGCCAACGCCUUGUCAGCGACGCUCUCAACAACAGAGGCUGGAUCGCCGACAUCCAUGGCACCUUACACCCCCGCGCGGUCAUCGAAUAUGUCGAGCUAUGGAGGCUGCUCCAAACUAUCCAGCUCUCCAACGAACCCGACAAGCUCUCCUGGAAAUGGACGGCCGAUGGGAGCUACUCCGCGCGUUCAGCCUACCACGCGUUGUUCAUCGGCGACACCACCGCACCAUUCUGGCGCCCCAUCUGGAAGACUUGGGCUCCUUCCAAUGCGAAGAUCUUCCUCUGGCUUGCCUCUCUCAACAGAUGCUGGACCGCCGACCGGAGAGCGCGCCACAACCUUCCUCAUGACCCCAUUUGCAAGCUGUGCAGCCAAGACAAUGAGACACUGCACCACCUCCUCGUCGGCUGCGUCUUCUCGCGCAUCAUUUGGCACGACAUCAUGGCAUGGUGCCGCAUUCCCGCCCUUCCCCCUGAUGGCGCUUCCAGCUUCUUCGACUGGUGGAUGGUAACGACGGCCAGCGUGCCAGCCUGCCUCCGCAAAGGGACGAACUCCAUCAUCAUCCUCACCUCUUGGGCACUUUGGAAGCAUCGCAACGCAGCUCUCUUCGACAAUGCUGCACCCUCCUAUAACAAACUUGUCGAGGACAUAAAACAGGAGGCGAAACUCUGGGCAAGAGCCGGCGCCAAAGGGCUCGGUAGGAUCAUUUCUGUAACAUAA